CUACGGGACGCUGCAGUGGGGAAUAUUGCACAAUGGGCGCAAGCCUGAUGCAGCCAUGCCGCGUGUAUGAAGAAGGCCUUCGGGUUGUAAAGUACUUUCAGCGGGGAGGAAGGGAGUAAAGUUAAUACCUUUGCUCAUUGACGUUACCCGCAGAAGAAGCACCGGCUAACUCCGUGCCAGCAGCCGCGGUAAUACGGAGGGUGCAAGCGUUAAUCGGAAUUACUGGGCGUAAAGCGCACGCAGGCGGUUUGUGAAGUCAGAUGUGAAAUCCCCGGGCUCAACCUGGGAACUGCAUCUGAUACUGGCAAGCUUGAGUCUCGUAGAGGGGGGUAGAAUUCCAGAUGUAGCGGUGAAAUGCGUAGAGAUCUGGAGGAAUACCGGUGGCGAAGGCGGCACCCUGGACGAAGACUGACGCUCAGGUGCGAAAGCGUGGGGAGCAAACAGGAUUAGAUACCCGCGUAGUC
rnacentral:rRNA from 1 species